GAUGAACGCUAGCUACAGGCUUAACACAUGCAAGUCGAGGGAACGGCGCACGGGUGAGUAACACGUAUCAAAACUGCCCUUUACUCGGGGAUAGCCUUUCGAAAGAAAGAUUAAUACCCGAUGGAAAGGAUGGGGAUGCGUUCCAUUAGGUUGUUGGUGAGGUACCGGCUCACCAAGCCUUCGAUGGAUAGGGGUUCUUAGAUGAAGUUCCCCGACAUUGGAACUGGGACACGGUCCAAACGCCUACGUGAGGCAGCAGUGAGGAAUAUUUGUCAAUGGGCGUUAGCCUGAACCAGCCAAGUAGCGUGAAGGAUGAAGGCUUAUGGGUCGUAAACUUCUUUUAUAUAAGAAUAUGUAUUAUAUGAAUAAGGAUCGGCUAACUCCGUGCCAGCAGCCGCGGUAAUAC
rnacentral:rRNA from 1 species